UUCCAGGACAAGGGUUUCCGCCGGACCCACAGGUGCCCAGUUGGAGACUGCACCCUCCCAGCAGCCCUUGCAGCCAGGUCUGCCAUGGGACUAAGUUCUUGUUAAGGAAGGUCAAGUGGAACUGAUCCAUGCCAGUGCUGGGUCUGGUCUUACAACACCUGUGCGUUUUUCCCUUUUUGUGAACUCAGAAGGUGCCUGUGACUCAGCUUCCACCACGCAGACCACGUCCUAGGUCACGUGGGUGAGACGAUGGAGGGACAGGCUCCCUGAGUGACCGCGUGGAGGAGAGCAGCCCUGGGGUCUGAAGCACUCCCUUCCUCUGGGGCGCUGAAGUGGAAGACAAGUAAGUGUCUAUACUCUUUAAGCCACUGUUUUGGGGCCUCUGUGUUGGAGUAACUUAGCCUUUGCUAAACGGAAAAAAGCAGGUUUCAAAACAGUACGCAGUACGAUCUGCUUUUUACAAAAAAUGUGCAUGCACCAACACGUCCACAGGAAGGUCUGGAAAGGUAUACACCGAAGCGCUCUGGUCAUUGUCUCUCGCUAGUGGGAAUGACGGGUAUUAUCUUCUUUGCUUGUCCACAUUACCUAAUUUUCUAUAAAAGAAACACAUGUAUUCCUUCUGGAAUUAAGAAAGCGAGGCUGCGAUCGAGAUGACGGCCAAGAACUAGACAAGGCUGGGGGACCCAUGAUGCAGACGAAGUGCACUGGUGGCAGGACCCACCUGUUCAGUUAGCACCGAGCCACCGCUCCCACCGUCCCCAAGGACAGCCAGUGUGCAGCUGGAAUUUCAAACUUCAUUAGCACAGAGACAGGCUGAAGCUGUUCUUGAGUAACUAAUCAUCUAAAAGCUACCAAGACGAUGCUCUACCUGGGAUGUGCCUGUGAACCUGAAGACCAACUGGAGGACAGGUUUGUCCACGAACGCCUUGCACAGGCCCAUCUCUGAGGCACAUAUGGUGUGCCCUUGAAUGAGCUCUGGCUGCGGUAGACCAGCCCUGCCAGCUGCACCCCAAGAAGCAGGUGGAGCGGAAUUGGCCCACCCUUCCCUGUCGAAGGCAGGACAGUGGAAGCCCCACCGCUCAACUUCGGCACGCCAGUGGGGAUGCAGACGCUGCGAGGCACCGAUGAGCAAGGUGGGUCGUCAGAUUUUGUCCUCUGUCUGCAGACCCGACGGCCCCAAGACGCCUCCCAUCGAGUCGGCGGGGGUUCGGGACCUUGUGAGAAUCCUGGCGGCUGAAGUCGCCAUCCCUUCUCCUCCUCCCAGCUCGGGUGACCUUAAAAGGCUCUCGAUAUAGCAUCAGGCCCACACUCUGACACUCUAAAUGCGAUGGAGAGCUUGCACAUUAACACUGAAAGAUCAUCAUUUUGUGCCUGCAGCUUUCCGUCAGGAGUGUGAAGUGUAAAAACAUCACUCGAUACCAAAAGGCCAAUUCCCGAUUUAGUGCGGGAAAAAAAAUCUGGACAACCUUUUACGGCCCUCCUCAUUCCAUUCUGUCAGUUCCUAACGGGCGCCCUGCUGAUUAACAGGAACCUGGCCGGCAGAAAGUACGGGGUAGGUGCAUCGCUGCUUAUCCUGGCAGGGAAGCGUCUGUAAGACAGAGGUUUCCAAGCUCGGGCCGAGUGCUUCUCAGGCAAUUCUUGACACAACACACUCGGCAGAGCAGGGACUGGUUAGUCCCUUUGCUUCUGGGGAGGCAGCUUUGCUGUUGAGUAGCCAUGGAGCUCGACGACGCGGGCAGCGGGAUACCCAGGCCUUCCAGGCCUCGAGCACACAACAGAGAGAACAGUACGAACCCACCUGGGAGUAAAGCAGACAACAUAUGGAAAGCGCCUGGCACAGAGGAGAUGCUGAGCUGUCAGGGUGGUAAUUAAGUCACUAAAAUACCUCGUCGUCCUGGCUGGGGCUCACCCGUGCACAGUCUCAGGAAUGGGGGCCUGGCACACCCGUUGAUGGUCAUGCUCCUUUCUGUAAGGGGUACCAGAGGAUGGUUCCAGACCCAGUGGCUAUGCCCACAGCAGCAUUAGGUCCCAGCUUCCCCCCAAUCCACAUCGUGGAACUGAUCCCAACCCACCUCCAGCCUCUACUUUUGCCCAUCUCAGGUCAACAUGUUCUCUAGAUUUGAACGGUUGACACACAAAGCCAGGCUCUCUCAUGGGUGUCUGUUAGGCACCGGGUGUUCGGGGAUCUGGUGAACAAGCUUCUCACCCUCCGGCCCCUCUCUCACCUUUCCAGAGCCCAACCCCCUCCCUUUCAGCUUCCCCCACUUAGCACUGAAGAAGGAGAAGGUCAAAGGGGGGAACGCCCUAAAGGUUGAUAGCCUGACCCUUAUAUUUUUUCCCCUUUUAAUGAGGGAAAGUUAAAAAAAAAAAAUAGAAGAGUAGCACGCAUCACCCACCUAUCCAAUGUCCAGCCUCAGUCAUUAUCUGCUCGUGGCCAAUCAUGUUUCGUCUACAAGCCCUCCGCCCCCUCCUACUCUCCUGCCUUGCCAUCACUGGGCCAUCAGCCGGGCGUCUUGCGGGAGAGGGGACGAGGUCUCAUAGAGGACGAGCGACUUGUCUGAGUGCUACAGCUGAGAGUAGGCGGCCAGAGUUGAGGCCCUGGCCCAGGCACGCCCUUCGCACUUUUUGCUGUUGCUACACUACCUGUGCUCUCCUUUAUUUGUUUAUUUUUUAUUGAAGUAUAGUUCAUUUACGAUGCUGUGUUA